ACUUACAAUGUUCCUCAAUUACCUUAUGAUCCGUUAGUCAAUGUUCAGCUCUUACCGAGUUCAUAAAUCAUCUGAGCCAAUCUCCCCAACCCGCAGACCGCCCCCCAAGUCCUCUUUAGCCCUCUCUGGAAAUCAGUCAGCAUUUACGUACACAUCACAUUUAAGUAUACACUGCUGAACCCUACAGGCAGAAAUUCAUUUCUUUCACAAAUAUUUACAGAAUUCCUACCACGUGCAUGGCACUAGAAUGAAUGCUAGGGAUAGAAGCCCAAACUCCAUUUCCGUAAGGACUAGAAUCUCAUUCCUGCCCUCCAAGAGCUUACAAUGUAACACUGUGCUAAGAGGCUCUGAACCUACAUAUGUAACUUUUAAUUAUACCAUGCUGACUUAAUAGCAUGGCAGGUGAUCACCCUAGAUGUUAAUACAAACUUUACAUUCCUGUUGACACACUAAAAGAUCUAUCAUCUAAAAACCAAAACAGGCCAGAAUUAAAAUCUGGCUACAGACUAAAACUUCAGGAAUGAAGUUCUGUCUAAACCAUUUUCAGACUUCCAGCAUUUUUUUACUACUCACUUUUUUUCUCAGUUAUUUUAGCCAAGAGCAAAUGAGCGUUAGGCAUAACCUUAAGAGCUAGAGAAGAGCAUGUUUGUAAUUAUAAAAGGCUCAUUAUGCUCCUCUGCAUCCCCAGAUCCCCAUUCAAAGAAAGGGCUGUACAACUAACUCCGGACAACAGAUAUAAUUGGCUUGCCUUUCUUCAUUAAUAUUAAAUUUGUGGGAGACAGUCUUGGCGUUUUCACUGCAGUGAACUCGUGAAGUUGAACAAUCUCCAAAGAGAUGAAACUUUAAAAAGCCUAUUCGAAGUUAAAGUCAAAUCACACCAGGCAAUUUAACUUUGCCUCGGAUUUUCCACAACCUUACAAAAAUUACAAAGUUCUUCUAAGUUCCUCCAUCAAAAGGCCAAAUUCCUGGUUUUUUCUUUCAACAAAAUGGAUGCGUCACAAUCUUAUUUACAUCUUGCCGUUUUAACCAAGACCUCCUUGAAUCCCAAGCCUAGGUCUACACUUCCAGGCCCCUGAGAAGACCUAAGAACGAUCAAGAAGGGAUGCGCGGGUAAGCGUUGUCAUCACAACAUUAAAGAUUUCGAAACUCCCAGACCACCAGAAAGCGUAGAGUAUGGGGAAGAAAACCAAACCCAGCAACUCUAAGAGGCAAACUAGACCGGGAGGAAACAAUCGGCCCCCAGGACAAAAAGCACAUUCACACCUCUCCGUGCAACCCACUCAUCCCUUUAUACUCGCAGCGCUGCAGCCAAAGCACAAAGUUCUUUCUUUUCACCCAGAGUCUGUGCCUGUCGCGGUUAAACAUGAACGGAGGAAAAUUCCUAGUCAGAACCCAGAGGGGUAGGACGGGGCUUGGAGUGUGGGGACAACGCCAAGCAGGGAGCUGUCCAGGGGCACUGCCCGCCCGGGGUCUCCAGCUGUGAAGUUGCGCUCCUCGGGAGAUUCCUGGGGUCAGAACGAGAGGCUGGAGUCGGAGCGAGGCACAAGGGAUGCGGGAGAAGAAAGGAGUGGGGCCGAAGAGGUAGCCAAAGAGAAUGGGGCUCCGAGGCGAGAGAGAAAGGACUGGAAGGGGCAAAGGGCGGCCAAGGAGGGCGAAAAGGGGAAGCUGCCGCUGGGCGGGAGACGGCGGAGGAGCGAGACGGGGCGGGGGACCGCGGGAGGACGGGAAGGCGGGAAGGGGAGAGAGCGUGGAGCUCGGAGCUCCAGCAGGCACAGGCCGCGGCAGAUAAGGGGGCGCGGAGAGGCCCAGGCCCGGCCCAGGCAGGAGGCGUCGGGAGACGACGCGACCCAAGGCGGGCGGGCCCGGGGAAAACCGCCCGCGGCCAGACCGGCAGUGGAAGCUGAGACGCAGUGCUGCGGCCCCUCCCCGUCACGUCAGGGCACUUACCUCCUCGCAGCUGGGACGCUCCGGUGAUGCGGGGCAGUCAGUUCAGAGCGUCUCUCCCAAAUCUCGGCACCCGACUGACCCGGAUCCAAACCAGCCAAGGGGGCGGCCCGCGCCUCGGGAGUCGCGUUGCGCCUGCGCACUCCGGCAUGCACCCCUCCCCCUGCUUAUGCUCCUCCCACCCCAGUGACUCGGCAGCGCGGCAGCCGACGACUGCGCAGACGCAGGGCGGCGGCCGCGCCUCUCCAACGCCCCGCACCCGCCCCCCUCAGAAGCACGUGCGCCUUACGUAAUUUCCUGUUAUUCUUCGGUUUGCCUCCUCCCAGUGGCGUGGAUUUGCUCCCGACCCGCUUUUGGGGCGUGCCUGCUUCCUCCUCUCUGUUAGGUGAGUGAGUAGGCGUCAUUCUUCACAGUAGUCCUCUGCCUCCACCGCCCCGGGAUCUCCUUGCGCUCGGUCCUCUACGUGGAGUCACCUAUGCAGAGGAAUUCCACGGGGCGGGGGCGAGGACAGGGUGCGGGGGUCUUUAUGGCAGACAAUCCCCGGCUGAGCGCUUGGCCAGAGUUUCUGUGAUGCUAGAAUCUGGACUGCCUGCGACCUCUCCGGGACUCGGACACCAGCCCUCGCCUCCUGGUGAUCUUUUAGGUCCUGCAGAGAAGUGAAGAGAUGAGCCCCAGAGAGGCGAAGCCACUUGAGCUCGUGAGUGACAGUCAGAUGUCAAGCCCUGCUCUUUCUAAAGCGUGCUGCCUUCAGAAAAGAAGAGCCAGAAGGAUGGAAAUUACUUCAGAAAGAUGAAUACCAGCUUUGAAGGAAUAAAAGCUGACGAGGAAUUGAAGGAGUUGAGGCACGAGCUUGAACAGGGUUGCAUGUUUGGCCCUUGAUUGUAAAUGCCCAUUGCUGCACCUGUUCCUGUUACUUGGGGAGUUGCAGCAGAAGGAACAGCGGCCUGGGACUCCAGAGAACUGGGUUCCCUCUCAUCCCUCCAGGGCCACCACUUCUUGUGGGCCCUUGGGCAAGUCACUGUACUUUCUGAGUCUCAGUUUCCCCAUUUGCAGAAUGGAAAUAACUACCCCGGUCUACCAACUUAGAAGAAUUGCUUUGAGGAUCUGAUAAGGUGGUGUGGAUGAUGCUGCCUUGGGGGCUUUACAGUCUGGAGCUCAAGGGACCCCUUAAGUUGGGCUUACUUAGUAACUCCAGGGGUGGGCAGAACAGGACUCCAAUGAGGGUUUUUUUCUUUUUCCCUUUUUUUUCUUUUCCUAUCUCUUAACUUUUAUCUUUAUUAUUUUACAAUGCCCUUGUAAGAUGAAACAAGUGAUGCUGAAAUAUCUUUUUCUUUUUUAACCUUUAUUUUAGAAUUGGGGUACAUGUGCAGGUUUGUUACAUAGGUACAGUGUGGGCUGCUGAGGUUUGGGAGUACGAAUGAAUUAGUCACCCCAGUGGUGAGCAUAGUGCCCGAUAAGUGGUUUUUUCAACCCUUACUCCCAUCCCUCUCCAUUCUUGUGUUCCCCAGUGUCUGCUGUUCCCAUUUUUAUGACCAUGUGUACUCAAUGUUUAGCUCCCACUUAGAAGUAAGAACAUGCCCAGCACUUUGGGAGGCCGAGGUGGGUGGAUCAUGAGGUCAAGAGAUCGAGACCAUCUUGGCUAACAAAGUGAAACCCUGUCUCUACUAAAAACAUAAAAAAUUGGCCGGGUGUGGUGGUGGGCACCUGUAGUCCUAGCUACUCGGGAGGCUGAGACAGGAGAAUCGCCUGAACCGGGGAGGUGGAGGUUGCAGUGAGCUGAGAUUGUACCACUGCACUCCAGCCUGGGUGACAGAGUGAGACUCCAUCUCAAAAAAAUAAAAAUAAAAAAAUAAAAAGAAUGUGGUGUAUGAUUUUGUUUUCUGUUUCUAUGUUAAUCCACUUAGGAUAAUGGCCUCCAGCUACAUCCACGUUGUUACAAAAGACACGAUUUCAUUCUCUUAUAUGGCUGCCUAAUAUUCCACGGUGUAUAUGUACCAUAUUUUCUUUAUCACAUCCACUGUUGAUCCACACCUGGGUUGAUUCCAUGUCUGUGCUAUUGUGAAUAGCACUGCAGUGAACAUGUGGGUGCGUGUGUCUUUGUGGUAGAACGAUUUCUUUUCCUUUGAGUAUAAUAUAUCCAUUAAUGGGAUGGGGCUGACAUACUUAAAGUAGAAACGAAAAUUGUCAUGUGCUCCCCCACGCCCCUCCAUUCUACUCUGCAGAGAGACAGCUGCCUGCUGUUUGUGGUUUAGUACACCUCCUUCCAGGCUUUAAAUAAACUA
rnacentral:lncRNA from 10 species